AAAGGGGGAGAAGGAGAGAAGAGUAAUGAUACCAGGAAAGCAAGUUUCUUGGGUGCAAAAACAUCAACUAUGGCUUUUCAAAAAUCAACUUCUUCUCAUCAAGAUGGGAGAUGGAGAUGGUGUGAGGGAGAGAAAGCAUUUCCAGUCAAAAAGAGAAGAGGGAGCUUUGAAACAAGAUCAAACGAAGAAACUCUGAUGGAGAAAGAUAAAAAAAUGAAGACAAAAAUGAAGACCAGGAUGAACAAGAAAUGCAUGCAAAGAAAUG
rnacentral:misc_RNA from 1 species